CACUUCUAGCUAACCCAACACGUAUUAGAAGCACUGCCUGCCCAGUGACAUUGAUUUAACGGCCACGGUAUUUUGACCGUGCAAAGGUAGCAUAAUCACUUGUUUUUUAAAUAAAGACUUGUAUGAAUGGCAAAACGAAAGCUUAACUGUCUCCACUGUCCAGCCAGUGAAACUGAUCUUCCUGUUCAAAAGCAGGAAUAAAAAUGUAAGACGAAAAGACCCUAUGGAACUUUAGACACAAAUCAGCUAUGCCAACAGACCGCAUAUACCAUGACCCCCGUCUUUAGUUGGGGCGACUGCGGAGAACAAAAAUCCUCCGUGACAUCUACUAAACCACACACAACUAAGUACCAAGACACUUGAAACAGCUGACCCAAUAAAAUUGAUCAACGAACUAAGCUACCCUAGGGAUAACAGCGCAAUCUUCUUACAGAGGCCAUAUCGACAAGAAGGUUUACGACCUCGAUGUUGGAUCAGGAUAUCCAGACAGUGUAGCCGCUGUCACAGGUUUGUUUGUUCAACAAUUAAAAUCCU
rnacentral:rRNA from 1 species